CUCGUUCCCCACCGUGAAGAUGCUGACCGUGUGGGUGCUCGUUUGUGCCAUGAUGGCUCUGACCAGAGCUGUGGCUCUUCCAGAGGAAAAAGCCAAAAAGGACGAUCAAGCAGUAGAGACUGACCUGGUCAAGAGAACCUAUUAUGGAUGUUCCAGUGGUUGGUCUCGGUUCAAUCGUCGCUGCUUCCACUUCGUUCCAAAACCUAUGACUUGGGCCCAGGCUGAGAGAAACUGUCGGUCCAUGGGUGGGAACUUGGCAUCGGUGCACAGCGUGCAAGAGUACCAUGAGAUUCAGAGGCUGAUAAUGACUGCCACCUAUGAGUACAAAGCAGCAUGGCUUGGAGGCUCUGACGCACAAGAGGAGAAUGUUUGGCUCUGGAGUGAUGGAAGACCUUUCCACUAUUCAAACUGGUGUCAUGGAGAGCCGAACAACUAUCGCAGACAGCAGAACUGUAUGCAGAUGAAUCAUGCAGCUCAGAAGUGCUGGGAUGAUCUGCAGUGUAAUGCUCAUCUCCCAUCCAUCUGUGCCAAGAGAGGCUACUGAUUCCUGUCAGAGUCCACCAUCAACACUGACAGAUGUGUUGGAGUUCAUCUUUGAAAACUCAUCUGUCUUUGUGUCAUUACUCUCAUAACUAACCCAAAGUCUCUUUAUCUCAUUUCACAUCUUUAUUUCUUCUCUAUCGCUGUAACGCUACUUAAGGAACAAAGCGACAAGUGACAGUAACAGGAGCUGGAUUGUCUCUUAGGUCUUGUGCCUUUAGUGAGAGCAAACUGAAUGUGUAAUGAAAGAAUGCUUUUAGCACAACUUUAUUCUGCAGAGUGAAAUAAUCUUUCUUAUCUAAAGCAAAAUUAAAAGAUUAAAGCAUUGAAACAAACUGGUCUGUGAGUGUUAUUUCUCUUGUUUCUAUAAUGUUCCUGCAUCUCAGAAACCAUGUAUAAUACCAUAAAGUUAUUAUCUACAGCCACAUUAUCAAGAUUUCUAAUUAAAGAAAGUUUCAGAAAUUUCACAAAAUCUUCAAGGAUCACAAGUCUCCACCAAAACAAGUUUUUGACUAUUUUUCAGCUAAUAGGUGAGAGAUGGCUCAGUUUAA